rnacentral:rRNA from 1 species
ACGCACGCUGGCGGCAGGCCUAACACCUGCAAGUCGCGCGCGGACUUCGGUUCUAGCGGCGGACGGGUGAGUCACGCGUGGGAAUGUGCCCUUCUCUACGGAAUAGCCCUGGGAAACUGGGAGUAAUACCGUAUACGCCCUAUUGGGGAAAGAUUUAUCGGAGAAGGAUCAGCCCGCGUUGGAUUAGGUAGUUGGUGGGGUAAUGGCCUACCAAGCCGACGAUCCAUAGCUGGUUUGAGAGGAUGAUCAGCCACACUGGGACUGAGACACGGCCCAGACUCCUACGGGAGGGAGCAGUGGGGAAUCUUAGACAAUGGGGGCAACCCUGAUCUAGCCAUGCCGCGUGAGUGAUGAAGGCCUUAGGGUUGUAAAGCUCUUUCAGCUGGGAAGAUAAUGACGGUACCAGCAGAAGAAGCCCCGGCUAACUCCGUG